UGGGGAAUAUUGCGCAAUGGGCGAAAGCCUGACGCAGCAACGCCGCGUGAGUGAUGAAGGCCUUCGGGUUGUAAAGCUCUGUCGGGCGGAACGAACCGGUGAGAUGUGAAUAAUGUCUUACCUUGACGGUACCGCCAAAGGAAGCACCGGCUAACUCCGUGCCAGCAGCCGCGGUAAUACGGAGGGUGCAAGCGUUGCUCGGAAUUAUUGGGCGUAAAGCGCACGCAGGCGGCAGGGUAAGUCAGUUGUGAAACUCCUGAGCUUAACUUGGGAACUGCAGCUGAUACUGCCAUGCUUGAGUACGGAAGAGGGGAGCGGAAUUCCCAGUGUAGAGGUGAAAUUCGUAGAUAUUGGGAGGAACACCGGUGGCGAAAGCGGCUCCCUGGUCCGAUACUGACGCUCAUGUGCGAAAGCGUGGGGAGCAAACAG
rnacentral:rRNA from 1 species